AGCGAACGCUGGCGGCAUGCCUAACACAUGCAAGUCGCACGGGGGGGCUUCGGCCUCCCAGUGGCGGACGGGUGAGGAACGCGUAGGGACCUGUCGAGGGGUGGGGGAUAACCGCGGGAAACUGCGGCUAAUACCGCAUGACGCCGCGGCGUGACAGCCGGGGCCAAAGGCGAAAGCCGCCCGCCGAGGGGCCUGCGUCCGAUUGGCUGGUUGGCGGGGUAGCGGCCCACCAAGGCGUCGAUCGGUAGCUGGUCUGAGAGGGUGAUCAGCCACACCGGGACUGAGACACGGCCCGGACUCCUACGGGAGGCAGCAGUGGGGAAUAUUGGACAAUGGGCGCAAGCCUGAUCCAGCAAUGCCGCGUGGGUGAAGAAGGUCUUCGGAUUGUAAAGCCCUUUCGGCGGGGACGAUGGUGACGGUACCCGCAGAAGAAGCCCCGGCUAACUUCGUG
rnacentral:rRNA from 1 species